UAGGGAAUCUUCCGCAAUGGACGCAAGUCUGACGGAGCAACGCCGCGUGAGUGAAGAAGGAUUUCGGUUCGUAAAACUCUGUUGUUAGAGAAGAACAGCGCAUAGAGUAACUGUUAUGCGUGUGACGGUAUCUAACCAGAAAGCCACGGCUAACUACGUGCCAGCAGCCGCGGUAAUACGUAGGUGGCAAGCGUUGUCCGGAUUUAUUGGGCGUAAAGCGAGCGCAGGCGGUCAAUUAAGUCUGAUGUGAAAGCCCCCGGCUCAACCGGGGAGGGUCAUUGGAAACUGAUUGACUUGAGUGCAGAAGAGGAGAGUGGAAUUCCAUGUGUAGCGGUGAAAUGCGUAGAUAUAAGGAGGAACACCAGUGGCGAAGGCGACUCUCUGGUCUGUAACUGACGCUGAGGCUCGAAAGCGUGGGUAGCAAACAGG
rnacentral:rRNA from 1 species